CUGUGCAUUCUGUCAUAAUCUACCCAAAUCAGUUCAGUUAGGUUCAGAACUAAUUAUGGCAAAUGAGACAAUAAAACCAGAUCUAGCCGUAACAAGUGAACCUCCGCCGGUUAAAGAAGUCACCGUACAGGCAUCUCCUGAACAGACAACCAUAUGUGAAUGUCUUUAUUGGAUGGGUCUCUAUUAUGCACUGUGUAACUGCGUAGAACUUUGCUUUCUCUGUUGCAGUUGCUGUGCCAAUGGUGGGUCAUCAUAGUUUGUAGAGUUCUCAGGUAUAGAUAGACAAUCAUUGGUCAUAACAACAGGUGUCUUUUUGAAGAGGCUUCCUCUAUUACUUUCAGUUAACAGAUUCUAUCUGUGACAUUUUGUUGGACAAGACUACUUGUUGAUCCAGCGUGAUGAUGCUGAACAGUGUGCACCUUUUCCUUUGUCACCAUGGUUAUAAAUGAUUUUUUAAAAUUCUUUAUCACAUAUGUCAUGGUUUUACAUCUAAAAACAG